AUUGAACGCUGGCGGCAGGCCUAACACAUGCACGUCGAACGAGUGGCGGACGGGUGAGUAAUGUCUGGGAAACUGCCUGAUGGAGGGGGCUAACUGCUGGAAACGGUAGCUAAUACCGCAUACCCUCAGAUGUGCCCAGAUGGGAUUAGCUAGUUGGUGGGGUAGCGGCUCACCAAGGCGACGAUCCCUAGCUGGUCUGAGAGGAUGACCGGCCACACGGGAACUGAGCCACGGUCCAGCCUCCUACGGGGGGAAGCAGUGGGGAAUCUUGCACAAUGGGCGCAAGCCUGAUGCAGCCAUGCGGGGUGUAUGAAGAAGGCCUUCGGGUCGUAAAGUACUUUCAGCGGGGAGGCGUUACCCGCAGAAGAAGCACCGGCUAACUCCGUGCCAGCAGCCGCGGUAAUAC
rnacentral:rRNA from 1 species